GAGAAAGUGUUGGAACAUGGAGAUGGAGAAAGCCAUACGUAUAGUGAAAUAUGGUGCUCCAAAUAGAAGAGAAGCCUGUUAAUUUGAAUAUAUCAAUUUCAGAUGCUUACUUAAGAGCUUUAUUUAUUUGCAUAUGGAAGCAUGCUGACUGUGAACAUUUCAAAAUUUUCCUAGAAGACUAUCCUUUCUCUUCGUGCUUUUAGAGGUAUCACUUCAGAUUGCCUAUGCCAGUUCCCUGGGUUAUUACAGUCACAUCUGUGGCAGGACCCUCAUCAGCAGCACCUGGGUGAUGAUCACAGCCCAUUGCCUCAGCAUGUGAGUGGGAUAAAAAGCAUAAAAACUCUUGCUGCAGAUGGGUGCUGGAUCCUUCUCAUCCUCUGAGCUCCCCACUGGUGCCUUCCUCGCACAGCUGGACAUCUCACUGCACACUUCAUCAAGGGAACUGGGAAGCUCUCUUUGCUUUAACCUUGAUUUUCCGUGUAAUUGCUGACUUCCUGGGAGCAGAAAUCAAGCUGAUUGCUGAUUUACAUGAGAGGAGGCACAUUUGCAUUAAUGGGAGCAUUUCAAAUGGGUUUGCAUCCUGAGAAAGCUGCACGGAGAUGGAGAGGAGGAAAGAAGCACGCGUUUCCCACCUUCGCUUUCUUCGCCAUCAAACUGCAGGCAGCAUUUUCCUAAUUCAUAAGACUGGUUUGCUGCAACCCAUUGAAAAUCCUCC